rnacentral:rRNA from 1 species
GACGAACGCUGGCGGCAUGGCUAAUACAUGCAAGUCGAGCGAACAGAUGAAGUGCUUGCACUUCUGACGUUAGCGGCGAACGGGGGAGUAACACGUAAGGAAUCUACCUAUAAGGGGGGGAUAACAUUCGGAAACGCGGGGCAAUACCGCAUAAUAUCGUAUUCAGUACGGCAGACGAUUGAAAGACACCUCCGCUAUCACUUAUAGAUGACCUCGCGGUGCAUUAGUUAGUUGGUGGGGUAACGGCCUACCAAGACGAUGAUGCAUAGUCGACCUGAGAGGGUGAUCGGCCACAUUGGGACUGAGACACGGCCCAAACUCCUACGGGAGGCAUCAGUAGGGAAUCUUCCGCAAUGGGCGAAAGCCUGACGGAGCAAUGCCGCGUGAGUGAAGAAGGCCUUCGGGUCGUAAAACUCUGUUAUAAGAGAAGAACAAAUUGUAGAGUAACUGCUACAGUCUUGACGGUAUCUUAUCAGAAAGCCACGGCUAACUACGUGCCAGCAGCCGCGGUAA